AAGUCAGCAAGUUCUGUACUGAUCUCUGAGUGCUUUUGUCUCACAAGUAAAGUUAUGGUCAUCCCUCGCUAAACACAGGUUUCCGAGUCGUGGUUUUGAGUAUCUGCGACUGGGAAGACUGUGGCAGGCUUUUCAGAUGGCUUAAAAAAAACCCCAACCACCCCAAAAUGCCUCAACUGCCUAAUCUUCAGUACAGAAACAGAAUUCCUCCCCAUUGGCAGAGUUCCACACACCAAAGACCUGAUGUGUGUCUUGCCCACAACAACCUCCUUGCAACUGGUCUGAUUAGAUUGGAUUCAGGAUUUCAUGCCACACUUCACCUGAAUGAUAAUGACUCAUCUCCAGCAAACAAGGAUGUUUCUGGCUAAGGCUGUCUCCUGAAGUGCUGGAGAGCGCCAAAGAGAUAAAUACAGGCAGUACAGUUGUGUUUGACAGACACCUCUGGGCUUCUGUCCAGCCAAUCUCCAGUGUUUUUCUUAUAUAGUCUGUACAGGAUGGAAGCUAAAUUAUUGAUGCCUCUUAGUUGUUUGACAGGUACAGCUCAUUUGGAUGCUGCGGACCUCUCACUGUUAGAUGGUGUCCACAGGAUGUGGAGGGGAUCUAUGGCAGACAAGUCAACUUGGAAUACUUUCUCUGAAGGCAGAAAGUUUGAAAAGCCACUGGCCUAGGAAGCAAGAAAUUUCUCACGUCACGGCAAAAAGAGAUUCAAUUCAUAAAAAUCAUGCAUGCUUUAUCUAGGAUUUCCAGGCUGUUGAACACACAACACCAACACUUUUACAGCCUUGUUCAGAAAAGGUCCUCCUCAGAUUUAAUGACCUUCUCAGUCAUGGUAUGCUGUGAUUGAACAUCACAUCUGGAUAUUGGCAACUCUUAUAUGCUCUGGUUCGAGGAUGUGGUUUCCCCCUAUACCAGAGAACGGAAAAUGAGAUGCCAUAGAUUUGUACCAAGUUUUCACUAUUUCAGGUCAAAACUUGGAUUUUCAC